GGCGCCUCCUCCCUCCCUCCCUCCCUCCCUCCCUCCGUCGGCGGCUUCUUCUUAUCCUCGGACGGCGGUGGUUGCACCUCCGGGAGGCUCUGGAUCCAGCGGUCCGACGGGCGGCCCAGGCUCCGCGGCGGCGAAUAGGGCGAGGAGGUCGUCGUCGAGGGCCGGCGGAGCCGCACUAACCGCGCGCCGCCGCCGCCGCCGCACGUCUGCUUCCUCUUCAGCCGGUCUUCUCCCGCGAGGAACAGGAAGGAACUUACAGGACCUGAACUCUCACCAGGAGCUUCCGUGGGACCAAGAAAAAGAGUCUCUAUGGCGAGAGGUAGUAGCCGCCCAGAGAACUUUGGUGUGACAAAACCUCGGUCAUACGCUUACCCGACGGAGCCCGAAAUCCACAACACCUGCAACCUAUUGGAGGUUCUAGACCAACACCAUCCGUGCAAGAGCGCGGAGGAGCGUUUCCUGCAAUCAAGUGCCUUGGAUAAACUGAAUAAAAUUGUUCAAGAUUGGGUGAAAGAGUUAACUCCCAGGGGGAUCAAGGAGGUCAAUGCGAUUUUUUUCGCUUUUGGCUCAUACUUUCUACAGGUGGAUGAAUUUGCUGAUCCGAUUGACACUAUAUGCAUAGGCCCGAGUUUUGUAGAUCAUGAGCAUGGAUUUUUCAAGAUAUUUCAUGAUAAAAUGUGUCAAAUGAAUGAAGUGACCCGAUUGAAGUCUGUUCGUAAUACAAAUGUGCCUUUUAUGGAGUUUAAGCUGGAUGGUGUCCCUAUUAAAAUUGUCUAUGCUAGUCUUCCUUACUCAGUAAUCCCAUUUAACUUUGAUCUGCAUCAAGCAAAUGUGCUUAGCAUGGAUGACGUGUCACGGAAUAGUUUUGAUGCAUGUAGAGUGACUAACGAAAUAUAUAGGCUGGUCCCGUGUAAUAAGACUUUUACGAUCGCAUUAAGAACUGUGAAAAUUUGGGCUAAAUCAAGAGGUCUUCUAUCCAAUGUUAUUGGUUUUCUUGGAGACUGCGAUUGGGCAAUACUGGUUGGACGUAUCUGCCAAGCACAUCCAUUUGCCACGCUCAGCACUAUUGUUUUUGAGUUUUUCAGCAUAUUCUCUGUGUGGUUUUGGCCAAACCCGGUUAUGCUCGUGGACCCACGUUCGGAUCCACAUCGUCUUCCUGUAUGGGAUCCUCAUACAAAUAGGAAUGAUAUUAUGCCAAUAAUCAGUCCAGUAUUCCCAUGCAAAAAUAUAAGAGCUGAUGCCUCCGCGAGCACGCUUCGGGAUAUGAUAUAUCAUUUUAAGUGUGGUUAUGAGCAGUGUAAACUAAUAAAGGUGAAUAACAACUGGAGGGAUCUAUUUAUGCCGUAUAAAUUCUUUGAGGAAUAUAUUCGAUACGUGCAUAUUGAUCUUACGGCGGAUACCGAACAAAAACUUGAGCUUUGGAAGAAAAUUGGAGAAUCUGAAUUGCUGGUGCUGAUUUCAAAGAUUGAAGCGGGCAGGGGACAACUGAUCUGCCAUAUCUGUCCGACGGAGCACUUGAGUAGCGACUCUUGUUCGUUUUUCAUUGGCCUGUCAACUAAAAAACUGAUAGUGGGCCGUGCAAUUCCCUAACAGGUUCCUAGUGAUGUGAUCAACGAGUUUAUGCGCAGAAUGGAGAAUCACAAGAGGGCUGGGAUGGAGGUACAGGUUGGUUGUCUUAACCAGACAUAUAUGAAGUCUCGCACGUGGGGUAGAUCAGCAAUGCCACUUAUCCAGUAGGCUGUGCUGUGCUCCUACGAAAAUGUAUUCUGCUGUUGGGCAAGCGGCGAGGGGAGGGGAGCCUGGAGAUGGCUUGGAGCUGAAGUGGGGCGUGAUCCUGGGAGCUGCUGUCUGCUAUCUUGUUUCAGGAAUGAGCCAGUUGUAUCCCUUUCUUUGGCGAUGUAAUAUGGUAACUGAAAAAUGGUUGGAGAGUAGGUUUUAGGUGGACAUCCGUUUGGUUGCCUGCCAUCUGUUUAGUUCCGGCCUUGGCAAAUCUGUCAGGCCGUCUCGUUUGCUUCAUCAUUUUAUAAAUCUGUGCGAACCAGACCACCCAGGCGCUAUGACGCGGGCAGGUGGAGUUAGAGAAGAGGAUUUGCCGCACUGUAUUGAUUACAUUACAACAGAGUUACAGAGUACAUAUAAGCCGAGCUCCCAACGACUCCCGUAAAGUUGGGCACGC